AACGUACGCUGGCGGCACGCCUAACACAUGCAAGUCGAACGAAGUAGCAAUACUUAGUGGCAGACGGGUGAGUAACAUGUAGGUAUCUGCCCUUUGGCCUGGAAUAACACGAGGAAACUUGUGCUAAUACCGGAUAAGUCUUUACGGAGAAAGCUUUAUGCACCAUUGGAUGAGCCUGCACUUGAUUAGUUUGUUGGUGGGGUAAUGGCCUACCAAGACUGUGAUCAAUAGCUGAUUUGAGAGGAUGAUCAGCCACAUUGGGACUGAGACACGGCCCAAACUCCUACGGGAGGCAGCAGUGGGGAAUCUUGCACAAUGGAGGAAACUCUGAUGCAGCGAUGCCGCGUGAGUGAAGAAGGCCCUUGGGUUGUAAAGCUCUUUCGUCGGGGAAGAAAAUGACUGUACCCGAAUAAGAAGGUCCGGCUAACUUCGUGCCAGCAGCCGCGGUAAUACGAAGGGACCUAGCGUAGUUCGGAAUUACUGGGCUUAAAGAGUUCGUAGGUGGUUGAAAAAGUUAGUGGUGAAAUCCCAGAGCUUAACUCUGGAACUGCCAUUAAAACUUUUCAGCUAGAGUAUGAUAGAGGAAAGCAGAAUUUCUAGUGUAGAGGUGAAAUUCGUAGAUAUUAGAAAGAAUACCAAUUGCGAAGGCAGCUUUCUGGAUCAUUACUGACACUGAGGAACGAAAGCAUGGGUAGCGAAGAGGAUUAGAUACCCUCGUAGUCCAUGCCGUAAACGAUGUGUGUUAGACGUUGGAAAUUUAUUUUCAGUGUCGCAGGGAAACCGAUAAACACACCGCCUGGGGAGUACGACCGCAAGGUUAAAACUCAAAUGAAUUGACGGGGACCCGCACAAGUAGUGGAGCAUGUGGUUUAAUUCGAAGAUACGCGCAGAACCUUACCAACACUUGACAUGUUCGUCGCGACUCUAAGAGAUUAGAGUUUUCGGUUCGGCCGGACGAAACACAGGUGCUGCAUGGCUGUCGUCAGCUCGUGUCGUGAGAUGUUGGGUUAAGUCCCGCAACGAGCGCAACCCUCACUUUUAGUUGCCAUCAUUAAGUUGGGCACUCUGAAAGAACUGCCAGUGAUAAGCUGGAGGAAGGUGGGGAUGACGUCAAGUCCUCAUGGCCCUUACGUGUUGGGCUACACACGUGCUACAAUGGUAUCUACAACAGGAAGCAAGACUGCGAAGUUAAGCAAAUCCCUAAAAGAUACCUCGGUUCGGAUUGCGCUCUGCAACUCGAGUGCAUGAAAGCUGGAAUUACUAGUAAUCGUGGAUCAGCGUGCCACGGUGAAAUGCGUUCCCGGGUCU
rnacentral:rRNA from 1 species